AUUGAACGCUGGCGGCAGGCCUAACACAUGCAAGUCGAGCGAGCGGCGGACGGGUGAGUAAUGUAUGGGGACUGCCCGAUAGAGGGGGAUAACUACUGGAAACGGUGGCUAAUACCGCAUACUAUCGGAUAACCCAUAUGGGAUUAGCUAGUAGGUGGGGUAAAGGCUCACCUAGGCGACGAUCUCUAGCUGGUCUGAGAGGGUGAUCAGCCACACUGGAACUGAGACACGGCCCAGACUCCUACGGAGGCAGCAGUGGGGAAUAUUGCACAAGGGGCACAAGCCUGAUGCAGCCAUGCCGCGUGUAUGAAGAAGGCCUUAGGGUUGUAAAAUACUGUCAGCGGGGAGGCGUUACCCGCAGAAAAAGCACCGGCUAACUCCGUGCCAGCCGCCGCGGUAAUAC
rnacentral:rRNA from 1 species